UACGUUAGGGUGCGAGCGUUGUCCGGAAUUAUUGGGCGUAAAGGGCCUCGUAGGCGGUUUGUCGCGUCGGGAGUGAAAACCUCGGGCUUAACUCGGGGCUUGCUUUCGAUACGGGCAGACUAGAGGUAUGCAGGGGAGAACGGAAUUCCUGGUGGUAGCGGUGAAAUGCGCAGAUAUCAGGAGGAACACCGGUGGGCGAAGGCGGUUCUCUGGGCAUGUCCUGACGCUGAGGAGCGGAAAGUGUGGGGAGCGAAACAGG
rnacentral:rRNA from 1 species